rnacentral:lncRNA from 1 species
GAGCCCAGCGAGCCAUGGGGGCGGCCCAAGGAAACUUCUCGUCCUCUAAGCGAUUCCUUGCUUCACCCGGUCUCCUCUUUCCCUUCUCUCGCUGUUCGUCCCGAAGUGAUUGAGCUUUGUCUUCUCAGCCGUUCUGGGGAAGAUGAUUCCCACCGAUUCUCAAGAUCUGGUCCAUUCCUCGCCGGAGGCAAAUAGCAUCGUCGAAGAUCCACCGGUUGUGAGAUCGAGAUCAUAAUCUUUGUUCGGUUAUUCAAUGCUAAGCAGAGAACUCCGAUAUCGCCGCCCUUGCCGCUUCCUUGAGGUGGAGGAACACGGAUAACACAGAUCCGACGAGAUCUCCUGAAGAAGGCAGCGGCACAGGAGGAGGAGGAGGAGACCAAUCAAUUUGGUGGAUCGGCUACGAGAGGCUCUUCUCGACGUGAGGGAGCCGACGGUUGCGAGUGAGUUGGGGAUCGGGGAUGUUGGCGAUGAUCCGUGUGACGAAAAUGGACGGCAGGAUUCGACACUUCUGGCCGAGAGUACGGAUCGUGAUCGUUCGUUUCCUGAUCGUGUUGGUGCCGCUCACGGAGCUCGGCGGUGUUGAUCCGAUUUCUUCGGCCUGCCUUCCCCUACUUGAAGUUGAAGGUAACCUAGCACGUCGUCUCCACCGUAUGAUGUACGUACAUACUUCCUCUACUUUCUUAUGCUGUACUCUUGUCUAGUCUACGAUGUACAUGUUUCCGUUUUCUUCUUUCUUGGAUCAGUCUCCGUAACGGAAGCACUAAGUAGUUUCGAACUAAGACUUUCCUCUUCCGUUAUGCUUGCAGUUAUAGGAGUGAAGACCUUUAAGCUGCGUUGCAGACUUGCUGCUGGUGCUGCGGUACAUGAUUGCAACGAGAUGAGGUAACACUGUGGACUUAAUAUAUGUGGCAUUCGCCGAAAACGUUGUGAUAUUGGGAUUUUAAUGGAACUACCGAUGCUUAUCGGUGGUCGCAUUUGUCCCAAAAAUAUUACGUGGUACAAUAACAUAAAAUCAU